rnacentral:rRNA from 1 species
CAGCAGCCACGGGAAUACGUAGGGGGCAAGCGUUGUCCGGAAUUAUUGGGCGUAAAGCGCGCGCAGGCGGUCUUUUAAGUCUGGUGUCUAAGUGCGGGGCUCGACCCCGUGACGCACUGGAAACUGGGAGACUUGAGUGCAGAAGAGGAGAGCUGAAUUCCACGUGUAGCGGUGAAAUGCGUAGAGAUGUGGAGGAACACCAGUGGCGAAGGCGGCUCUCUGGACUGUAACUGACGCUGAGGCGCGAAAGCGUGGGGAGCAAACAGGAUUAGAUACCCGUGUAGUCCCUGUCUCUUAUACA